rnacentral:rRNA from 1 species
GUGGGGAAUAUUCCGCAAUGGACGAAAGUCUGACGGAGCAACGCCGCGUGAGUGAUGAAGGUUUUCGGACUGUAAAGCUCUGUUGUUUAGGACGAAAGUGCCUGUUGCAAAUAGUUACAGGUAUUGACGGUACUGAACGAGGAAGCCACGGCUAACUACGUGCCAGCAGCCGCGGUAAUACGUAGGUGGCAAGCGUUGUCCGGAAUUAUUGGGCGUAAAGAGCAUGUAGGCGGGAAUCUAAGUCUGUUGUGAAAAUGCGGGGCUCAACCCCGUAUUGCGAUGGAAACUGGGUUUCUUGAGUGCAGGAGAGGAAAGGGGAAUUCCCAGUGUAGCGGUGAAAUGCGUAGAUAUUGGGAGGAACACCAGUGGCGAAGGCGCCUUUCUGGACUGUGUCUGACGCUGAGAUGCGAAAGCCAGGGUAGCGAACGGGCUUAGAUACCCUUGUAGUCC